rnacentral:rRNA from 2 species
GGGUUGUGAGGUUAAGCGACUAAGCGUACACGGUGGAUGCCCUGGCAGUCAGAGGCGAUGAAGGACGUGCUAAUCUGCGAUAAGCGUCGGUAAGGUGAUAUGAACCGUUAUAACCGGCGAUUUCCGAAUGGGGAAACCCAGUGUGUUUCGACACACUAUCAUUAACUGAAUCCAUAGGUUAAUGAGGCGAACCGGGGGAACUGAAACAUCUAAGUACCCCGAGGAAAAGAAAUCAACCGAGAUUCCCCCAGUAGCGGCGAGCGAACGGGGAGCAGCCCAGAGCCUGAAUCAGUGUGUGUGUUAGUGGAAGCGUCUGGAAAGGCGCGCGAUACAGGGUGACAGCCCCGUACACAAAAAUGCACAUGCUGUGAGCUCGAUGAGUAGGGCGGGACACGUGGUAUCCUGUCUGAAUAUGGGGGGACCAUCCUCCAAGGCUAAAUACUCCUGACUGACCGAUAGUGAACCAGUACCGUGAGGGAAAGGCGAAAAGAACCCCGGCGAGGGGAGUGAAAAAGAACCUGAAACCGUGUACGUACAAGCAGUGGGAGCACAGAGCAAUCUGUGUGACUGCGUACCUUUUGUAUAAUGGGUCAGCGACUUAUAUUCUGUAGCAAGGUUAACCGAAUAGGGGAGCCGAAGGGAAACCGAGUCUUAACUGGGCGUUAAGUUGCAGGGUAUAGACCCGAAACCCGGUGAUCUAGCCAUGGGCAGGUUGAAGGUUGGGUAACACUAACUGGAGGACCGAACCGACUAAUGUUGAAAAAUUAGCGGAUGACUUGUGGCUGGGGGUGAAAGGCCAAUCAAACCGGGAGAUAGCUGGUUCUCCCCGAAAGCUAUUUAGGUAGCGCCUCGUGAAUUCAUCUCCGGGGGUAGAGCACUGUUUCGGCAAGGGGGUCAUCCCGACUUACCAACCCGAUGCAAACUGCGAAUACCGGAGAAUGUUAUCACGGGAGACACACGGCGGGUGCUAACGUCCGUCGUGAAGAGGGAAACAACCCAGACCGCCAGCUAAGGUCCCAAAGUCAUGGUUAAGUGGGAAACGAUGUGGGAAGGCCCAGACAGCCAGGAUGUUGGCUUAGAAGCAGCCAUCAUUUAAAGAAAGCGUAAUAGCUCACUGGUCGAGUCGGCCUGCGCGGAAGAUGUAACGGGGCUAAACCAUGCACCGAAGCUGCGGCAGCGACGCUUAUGCGUUGUUGGGUAGGGGAGCGUUCUGUAAGCCUGCGAAGGUGUGCUGUGAGGCAUGCUGGAGGUAUCAGAAGUGCGAAUGCUGACAUAAGUAACGAUAAAGCGGGUGAAAAGCCCGCUCGCCGGAAGACCAAGGGUUCCUGUCCAACGUUAAUCGGGGCAGGGUGAGUCGACCCCUAAGGCGAGGCCGAAAGGCGUAGUCGAUGGGAAACAGGUUAAUAUUCCUGUACUUGGUGUUACUGCGAAGGGGGGACGGAGAAGGCUAUGUUGGCCGGGCGACGGUUGUCCCGGUUUAAGCGUGUAGGCUGGUUUUCCAGGCAAAUCCGGAAAAUCAAGGCUGAGGCGUGAUGACGAGGCACUACGGUGCUGAAGCAACAAAUGCCCUGCUUCCAGGAAAAGCCUCUAAGCAUCAGGUAACAUCAAAUCGUACCCCAAACCGACACAGGUGGUCAGGUAGAGAAUACCAAGGCGCUUGAGAGAACUCGGGUGAAGGAACUAGGCAAAAUGGUGCCGUAACUUCGGGAGAAGGCACGCUGAUAUGUAGGUGAAGUCCCUCGCGGAUGGAGCUGAAAUCAGUCGAAGAUACCAGCUGGCUGCAACUGUUUAUUAAAAACACAGCACUGUGCAAACACGAAAGUGGACGUAUACGGUGUGACGCCUGCCCGGUGCCGGAAGGUUAAUUGAUGGGGUUAGCGGUAACGCGAAGCUCUUGAUCGAAGCCCCGGUAAACGGCGGCCGUAACUAUAACGGUCCUAAGGUAGCGAAAUUCCUUGUCGGGUAAGUUCCGACCUGCACGAAUGGCGUAAUGAUGGCCAGGCUGUCUCCACCCGAGACUCAGUGAAAUUGAACUCGCUGUGAAGAUGCAGUGUACCCGCGGCAAGACGGAAAGACCCCGUGAACCUUUACUAUAGCUUGACACUGAACAUUGAGCCUUGAUGUGUAGGAUAGGUGGGAGGCUUAGAAGUGUGGACGCCAGUCUGCAUGGAGCCGACCUUGAAAUACCACCCUUUAAUGUUUGAUGUUCUAACGUUGACCCGUAAUCCGGGUUGCGGACAGUGUCUGGUGGGUAGUUUGACUGGGGCGGUCUCCUCCUAAAGAGUAACGGAGGAGCACGAAGGUUGGCUAAUCCUGGUCGGACAUCAGGAGGUUAGUGCAAUGGCAUAAGCCAGCUUGACUGCGAGCGUGACGGCGCGAGCAGGUGCGAAAGCAGGUCAUAGUGAUCCGGUGGUUCUGAAUGGAAGGGCCAUCGCUCAACGGAUAAAAGGUACUCCGGGGAUAACAGGCUGAUACCGCCCAAGAGUUCAUAUCGACGGCGGUGUUUGGCACCUCGAUGUCGGCUCAUCACAUCCUGGGGCUGAAGUAGGUCCCAAGGGUAUGGCUGUUCGCCAUUUAAAGUGGUACGCGAGCUGGGUUUAGAACGUCGUGAGACAGUUCGGUCCCUAUCUGCCGUGGGCGCUGGAGAACUGAGGGGGGCUGCUCCUAGUACGAGAGGACCGGAGUGGACGCAUCACUGGUGUUCGGGUUGUCAUGCCAAUGGCACUGCCCGGUAGCUAAAUGCGGAAGAGAUAAGUGCUGAAAGCAUCUAAGCACGAAACUUGCCCCGAGAUGAGUUCUCCCUGACUCCUUGAGAGUCCUGAAGGAACGUUGAAGACGACGACGUUGAUAGGCCGGGUGUGUAAGCGCAGCGAUGCGUUGAGCUAACCGGUACUAAUGAACCGUGAGGCUUAACCUUACAACGCCGAAG